CCCGAGGAAAAGAAAUCAACCGAGAUUCCCCCAGUAGCGGCGAGCGAACGGGGAGGAGCCCAGAGCCUGAAUCAGCAUGUGUGUUAGUGGAAGCGUCUGGAAAGGCGCGCGAUACAGGGUGACAGCCCCGUACACAAAAGCGCAUGUGCUGUGAGCUCGAUGAGUAGGGCGGGACACGUGGUAUCCUGUCUGAAUAUGGGGGGACCAUCCUCCAAGGCUAAAUACUCCUGACUGACCGAUAGUGAACCAGUACCGUGAGGGAAAGGCGAAAAGAACCCCGGCGAGGGGAGUGAAAAAGAACCUGAAACCGUGUACGUACAAGCAGUGGGAGCACAGGUUUACCUGUGUGACUGCGUACCUUUUGUAUAAUGGGUCAGCGACUUAUAUUCUGUAGCAAG
rnacentral:rRNA from 1 species